GUGCCAGCAGCCGCGGUAAUACGUAGGUGGCAAGCGUUGUCCGGAUUUAUUGGGCGUAAAGGACGCGCAGGCGGAUUCUUAAGUCUGAUGUGAAAUCCCAGGGCUUAACCUUGGGGGUUCAUUUCAAACUGGAUGUCUUGAGUGCAGGAGAGGAAAGUAGAAUUCCAAGUGUAGCGGUGAAAUGCGUAGAGAUUAGGAGGAAUACCAGUGGCGAAGGCGUCUUUCUGGCAUGAAACUGACGCUGAGGCGUGAA
rnacentral:rRNA from 1 species